AAGCCCCGCAAGGGGUCAGUAGAGUGGCAAACGGGUGAGUAACACGUGGGUGAUCUGCCUCAGAGUGGGGGAUAACGACCCGAAAGGGUCGCUAAUACCGCAUAACAUCCUGCCUUUGGAUAGGUGGAGAUCAAAGCCGGGGAUCGCAAGACCUGGCGCUUAGAGAGGAGCCCGCGGCCGAUUAGCUAGUUGGUAGGGUAACGGCCUACCAAGGCGACGAUCGGUAUCCGGCCUGAGAGGGCGGACGGACACACUGGGACUGAGACACGGCCCAGACUCCUACGGGAGGCAGCAGUGGGGAAUUGUUCGCAAUGGGCGCAAGCCUGACGACGCAACGCCGCGUGGAGGACGAAGAUCUUCGGG
rnacentral:rRNA from 1 species